GGAGAAAAGCAGGGGAUCGUAAGACCUUGCGUUAAUGGAGCGGCCGAUGUCAGAUUAGGUAGUUGGUGGGGUAAAGGCUCACCAAGCCGACGAUCUGUAGCUGGUUUGAGAGGACGACCAGCCACACUGGGACUGAGACACGGCCCAGACUCCUACGGGAGGCAGCAGUGGGGAAUUUUGGACAAUGGGGGCAACCCUGAUCCAGCCAUUCCGCGUGAGUGAAGAAGGCCUUCGGGUUGUAAAGCUCUUUCGCAAGGGAAGAAAACUUAUGAUCGAAUAAAUCAUGAGGUUGACGGUACCUUGAUAAGAAGCACCGGCUAACUACGUGCCAGCAGCCGCGGUAAUACGUAGGGUGCGAGCGUUAAUCGGAAUUACUGGGCGUAAAGCGUGCGCAGGCGGUUUUGUAAGUCAGAUGUGAAAUCCCCGGGCUCAACCUGGGAACU
rnacentral:rRNA from 1 species